CAAGGGGAAUCCUGGACAACAUAACAAGUACCCUCUGCAGAGAUGGAGAGAAAACAUGGUGGGGUAGGCUACAGUGGCACACUGUGUCAGCUGGGGAAGAAAGGCUGAGAGGCACUGUGCCCUGAGGCUUCCAGAGGGCCAUGGGCAGGCAGGGCCUUGUGCUUCCGGGCAAGUGUGUUGAGAAGUUCAACAGACAGAUCUGGGUUUGAAUCCUACCUGGCUCUUUAUUUGCUAAGAAGUUGCUUCACCUUUGAACUUCACUUUCUCCAUCUGGGAAAUAGAAAUGGUCAUACUUACCACCAUGGGAUUAAUGUGAGCAUUCAAAGGAAGAAUAUUCUCAAAGGACCGAUCAAGUGACAGGCAAAGAGUAAGCACCCAAUAUCUGCCAGCUGUUGUUCUGAUUUAGGACAAAGUCUUCUCUCCAGGGAUGUUUACGUCCCAAAAUGAUUACUUCUCCUGGUUGAUAAUUAUGCUGGACCAGAUGAUUGCAUUUAUGAACAUUCUAGAAGGAAGUUGGCACUGAGUCUUCGAGCAGCUGCAUGUGUGACUGGAACUGAAGCACAAAAGCUCAGCGACUGUGGGACAGACAUAUUGUGUCACAUGAAGAGAGGAACAAUUGAUAAACAGAGUAAAACAAAACUAGUGGACAGGGAGAGGUGAGGAGAUUGAAAGAGGGCACCAAGAAAUGUAAUUGCAGUGCAUCAUUGCAUUAAACUGGGAAGAGCCUUAUGAAUCAACUCUUCCUUGGAUCUGGAAAGCAUGUUGUUCAUUAUCUGCCAGCACCUAUAAAAGAGAAAUGAGUAGAACCUGCUCAUUCAUCAGUUGAAUUGCUGUGCUACUUUCUCCAAGGUUCCUUUACAAGCCUAGUACUUACUCCCUAAACAGUGUUUGACAAAAGUGGGUGUGCACACCAUCUGAAUUGAUUCCCUCCCCGCCACCUGCCACUGCAGAGUUCUUAUAGUCCCAGCAUGCUCCAAACCCUGAGAAUAGCUAAAUUAUGAUAGUUAUAUUGCUUUUCAUAUCAGCCUUCUAAUAAUCUUUUUCUUUUCCUUUUUUUCUUUUCUUUUUUUUUUUUUUUUUGAGACAAAAUUUUGCUCUGUCACCCAGGCUGGAAUGCAGUGGUACGACUUCGGCUCACUGCAAUCUCAGUCUCCUAGGAUCAAGCGAUUCUCAUACGUCAGCCUCCCGAGUAGCUGGGAUUACAGGCAUGCGCCACCACGCCCAGCUAAUUUUUUGUAUUUUUAGUAGAGAUGGGGUUUCGCCAUUUUGGCCAAGCUGGUCUCGACCUCCUGACCUCAAGUGAUCUGACCACCUUGGCCUCCCAAAGUGCUGGGAUUACAGGCAUGAGCUACCACACCCAGCCUUUUUCUAUUUAAAGGAUAAAAACCUAUCCCUUUUUGUAGGAAACACAAAAAACACUUCACUCACAUAUAACAUGUCACACAUACCCUUGCAGUGGGAGAAUGUCUAGAGGCAACCAAGGAUUCCAUCCACUGGAGCCCCACGCUAUUCAUCACAUUUCCAUCUACCCAUUGUCUCUCCAAGUUAAUUCUCCCAGUUAAUAACUGAUAUUGUACAGAUUGUUAAAAUUGAUUCUAAGCAAUGUCCACUCUGGAAAGGAAAUGUGUUAUAUAUGGAGAAAGAGAUGAAUCAGUUUGCAAAUUCCCAACUCAUCGAGUAUCAGAUAAAUGAAAAUGCUGAGACUUUGGAGUUGCAAAAGCCUGGAUUUUGAGCCUCAAAAUGUGCAAAAUAUAUUCCAUGUUCUGAUUAUCUAUUGCUGCAUAAAACAUUACACCAAAAUUCAGUAGCUUAAAACAGUCAUUUAAAUUUGCUCACAAUUUCGUGGUUUGGGAAUUGGGAAGGGCUCGGCUGAGUGAUUCUUGCCUCAGGUCUUUCAUGAAGUGUCAGUCAGAUGUUGACUGGAACAGGAACCAACCGAAGGCUUGUGUGUGCUGAGCAUCUGAGAGGCUUCCUCAUAGGCUGGCAAUGGAUGCUGCCUUUUGGCUAAGAGCUCAGCUGGAGCUCUUGACUAAAGUACUCAUCUGUGGCCUCUGGACAUUGCUUGGGCUUCUCACAGCCAUGGUGGCUGGGUCCUGGAGGAAGCAUGUGGAGAGUGAGUGUUUAGAGACCAAAGCAGAAACUGCAAGACUUCUUCUGAUCUAGCUUCAAAAGUCACACGGUGGUAUUGUCAUCAUACUGUUGGUACUGUUGGUUUUAAGUAAGUCACCAAGGUCAGCCCAGACCCAAGGGGAGGGAAUUAUACCCCACCUCUCUUUAGGAGAAAGGCCAAAGAAUUUACUGCUAUUUCCAAUCAGCAAGUGCCAAAAACAAAUGAUUUAGAAGAAUUGGUGAACAGUGUAGCUACCCUCUGGAAAUGAGGUAGAGGAAGAGAGUUACAGGGGGAAGAAAGAGACUGUAGACACUCAAGUUGAUAGGAAACCCUUCUCUUUUCUCACAUCAGACUCAUCAAAUUUUGGAGGAGGCAGAUAAGACAUGCCAGGCUCCCAGUACAGUUUAGGGUAUCUGAGACCAUGGGAAACAUUGUAUUACUUCUUGAAAACUCAGAUGACUCACUAGCAUUAAGUAGAAAUGCCUGGGUGCUGUGCCUAGGCUGAUAGGCUUGAGACAGCCUCAGAGCUCUCCUUGUUCCAGCAAUGUACAGUUCCAAAUGAAACAGACCUGGUGGUGUUAAUGAAGUGGGUAUUGCAGUCAUCUGCAAAGACUAUCACCUAGAGACUAGAUGGGAAUGAGAAUGUCUUGGCAGGCUCCUGUGUGGACAGAUGUCUGUUGAGGACAGGAUAGGAACUUAGAUGGAACCCUAGAAAAAAUUGAGCAUGUGUGUUGGGGAAGAGACCCAACAGAUUUAGUUGGGUUAAAUUUGGUUUAUGUUACCUGAUGAAAUGGGACUCAAAAUAGAAAUUAAACUCAGUUUUAGAAAUAUAUUUGUGAACUGACUCAUCUCUCUCUCCACAUAGAACACAAUGUUUCGCUUUCAGAGUGGACAUUGCUUAGAAUCAAUUUUAAUAAUCUGUAAAAUAUCAAUUAAAAAAAGAAAAUAAGCCACACAACAAAUGCAUUUAUAUCAUAGGGAGCAGAGGGAAUAUUGUCUUGUUUUGUAUUCAAAAGUCUGUUCUUCACAACAAAACUCAGUUUUAGAAAUAUACAGUCUUGCACACUUGAAUUUGUGAACCAAUUCGUCUCUCUUUCCAUUUAUAACACAAUGUUUCCUUUCCAGAGUGGACAUUGCUUAUAAUCAAUUUUAACAAUCUGUACAAUAUCAAUUAUAAAAAAAAGUAAGCUGCACAACAAAUGCAUUUAUAUUACAAGGAGCAGAGGGAAUAUUAUCUUGUUUUGUAUUAAAAAGUCUGUUCUUCACAACGAUAUCUGAGGCUCUGAGAGAUCUGAGUUUUAGAAUCCCAGAAAGAUGGCCUGAAUAAGAUUUAUUCUGAAAAAGCAAGACUGACAAUGUUUGAAGCUUUUCUAAAUCUUAAAUUCUAAAUCCAAGUGUCUAGCUUUAUUGCCUGGAUUAAAUAUUUCAAGUCAAAAUGUCCUGACUUUUAGGGGCUUUUAUUGAGUGUUUCUCUCCUAAAAUAAAAUGAAGCUAGGUUAUGAGUGGGUCAUCUUCAAAAAGAUGUAUUAUCAUUCUGAUAAUUUGAAGAACAUACAAUUAUAUAAAAGUACAAAUCAAAACUAAGUAAUUUAUAUGAAACGACUUCAAUUAACCAUGUAACCAAAAAAGAGCUACAAAGAAUUCAAAUAAGCUAAGUGCAACGUCUCAGGCCUGUAAUCCCAGCACUUUGGGAGACCAAUGCGGGCAGAUCACUUGAGCCCAGGACUUUGACACCAGCCUGGCCAACAUGGUGAAACCCUGUCUCUACAGAAAAAAUACAAAAAUUGGCCAGGUGUGGUGGUGAGUGCCAGUAGUCCCAGCUACUAGGGAGGCUGAGGUGGAUCACUUGAGCACAGGAGGAUCUCUUACGGCAGAGGCUGCAGUAAGCCAUAAUCACACCACUGUACUCUAGCCUGAGUGUCAGAGUGAGACCCUAUCCACUCCCCCCCAAAAAAAUUCAAAUAAACUCAAAAUGAAAGUUUGAAACAUGAGAAACAGAC
rnacentral:lncRNA from 10 species